UACAGAGGUGGCAAGCGUUGUUCGGAAUUACUGGGCGUAAAGGGCGCGUAGGCGGCCUUCUAAGUCAGACGUGAAAUCCCCCGGCUUAACCUGGGAACUGCGUCUGAUACUGGGAGGCUAGAGUAUGGGAGAGGGAUGUGGAAUUCCAGGUGUAGCGGUGAAAUGCGUAGAUAUCUGGAGGAACACCGGUGGCGAAGGCGGGUCUCUGGGCAGUAACUGACGCUGAGGAGCGAAAGCGUGGGGAGCGAACAGG
rnacentral:rRNA from 1 species